rnacentral:rRNA from 1 species
UCCGUAGGUGAACCUGCGGAAGGAUCAUUGUCGAAUCCUGCGAUAGCAGAAUGACCCGCUAACACGUAAACACAUCGGGCAAGCGUCAGAGGGCUUCGGUCCCCUGAUUGCAAACCCUUGGUAGGUGUCCCCUCUAUGGUGGCCACCGGCCUACGAAAUCAUCCGGGCGCGGAAUGCGCCAAGGAACUUGAAAUUGAAUUGUACGUUCGCAUCCCGUUAGCGGGCAUUGAACGUCAUUCCAAAACACAACGACUCUCGACAACGGAUAUCUCGGCUCUCGCAUCGAUGAAGAACGCAGC